rnacentral:rRNA from 1 species
CCUACGGGAGGCUGCAGUGGGGAAUAUUGCACAAUGGGCGCAAGCCUGAUGCAGCCAUGCCGCGUGUGUGAAGAAGGCCUUCGGGAUGUAAAGCACUUUCAGCGGGGAGGAAGGCGGUGAGGUUAAUAACCUCAUCGAUUGACGUUACCCGCAGAAGAAGCACCGGCUAACUCCGUGCCAGCAGCCGCGGUAAUACGGAGGGUGCAAGCGUUAAUCGGAAUUACUGGGCGUAAAGCGCACGCAGGCGGUCUGUCAAGUCGGAUGUGAAAUCCCCGGGCUCAACCUGGGAACUGCAUUCGAAACUGGCAGGCUAGAGUCUUGUAGAGGGGGGUAGAAUUCCAGGUGUAGCGGUGAAAUGCGUAGAGAUCUGGAGGAAUACCGGUGGCGAAGGCGGCCCCCUGGACAAAGACUGACGCUCAGGUGCGAAAGCGUGGGGAGCAAACAGGAUUAGAUACCCGGGUAGUC